GGUCGGAAGUUCAAGUCUUCCCAGGCCCACCACUUUCAUCGAGUGUGCAUUCGUCUUCUGGUUACGGGGCCAUAGCUCAGCUGGGAGAGCGCGUGCUUUGCAAGCAUGAGGUCGUCGGUUCGAUCCCGUCUGGCUCCACCAGAUGGUUUGAUCACCAACGACAUGAUGACCGUCGUCCGCGAAACAUCACUUCGCACCCACUAGUCCGGAUGGACAGUGACGUGCGUGAUUUCUGACAUCGUAAAGAGGAGAUCGAUCCGAGUUGGAUCGGGCAACAAGCAAUUGUUGCGCGAUACUUCAUUAUCUCCGGAUCAUUUCGGCGCUUGCGCGCCUUUCAGUGUGGCUCACAAGGCUGCGUCUGAAAGACGAGCGAGUUGUAAAUGAUCCUUUUAGCGAAGCUUGACCGCCUCGCUAUCGGAACGAUCUUACGAAGCAAGCUGGUCUUUCUAAUCAUUGUCCGGCUGCAGAUAGCGUUCAUCGAGGGCGCGUGCCGCAAGGUAAUUCUGCAGACAACAUUCUGCCGAGUGUGUGGACAUUGAUAAUGAGAGC
rnacentral:tRNA from 4 species